UACGUAGGGGGCAAGCGUUGUCCGGAUUUAUUGGGCGUAAAGAGCGUGUAGGCGGCUGGGUAGGUCCGUUGUGAAAACUCGAGGCUCAACCUCGAGACGCCGAUGGAAACCCUCCAGCUAGAGUCCGGAAGAGGAGAGUGGAAUUCCUGGUGUAGCGGUGAAAUGCGCAGAUAUCAGGAAGAACACCCGUGGCUAAGGCGGCUCUCUAGUACGGUACUGACGCUAAGACGCGAAAGCGUGGGGAGCAAACAGG
rnacentral:rRNA from 1 species